rnacentral:rRNA from 1 species
UACGUAGGGGGCAAGCGUUGUCCGGAAUUAUUGGGCGUAAAGAGCGUGUAGGCGGUCCGGUAAGUCAGCUGUGAAAGUCAAGGGCUCAACCCUUGAAUGCCGGUUGAUACUGUCGGGCUAGAGUCCGGAAGAGGCGAGUGGAAUUCCCGGUGUAGCGGUGAAAUGCGCAGAUAUCGGGAGGAACACCAAUGGCGAAGGCAGCUCGCUGGGACGGUACUGACGCUCAGGCGCGAAAGCUAGGGGAGCGAACAGG